CAAAACUGAUGAUUAGGUGAGCGU
rnacentral:siRNA from 1 species